rnacentral:misc_RNA from 1 species
AACCAUAGAAACCUGCGGAGUACCUGCGGAAGGAUCAUUACCGAGUUUACAACUCCCAAACCCCUGUGAACAUACCUAUACGUUGCCUCGGCGGAUCAGCCCGCGCCCUGUAAAAAGGGACGGCCCGCCCGAGGACCCCUAAACUCUGUUUUUAGUGGAACUUCUGAGUAAAACAAACAAAUAAAUCAAAACUUUCAACAACGGAUCU